UACGUAGGGGGCAAGCGUUGUCCGGAUUUAUUGGGCGUAAAGAGCGUGUAGGCGGCUAGGUAGGUCCGCUGUGAAAACUUGAGGCUCAACCUCAAGAGGUCGGUGGAAACCAUCUGGCUAGAGUCCGGAAGAGGAGAGUGGAAUUCCUGGUGUAGCGGUGAAAUGCGCAGAUAUCAGGAAGAACACCUAUGGCGAAGGCAGCUCUCUGGGACGGUACUGACGCUGAGACGCGAAAGCGUGGGGAGCGAACAGG
rnacentral:rRNA from 1 species